rnacentral:rRNA from 1 species
CCUACGGGAGGCAGCAGUGGGGAAUAUUGCACAAUGGGCGCAAGCCUGAUGCAGCCAUGCCGCGUGUGUGAAGAAGGCCUUCGGGUUGUAAAGCACUUUCAGCGGGGAGGAAGGCGUUAAGGUUAAUAACCUUGUCGAUUGACGUUACCCGCAGAAGAAGCACCGGCUAACUCCGUGCCAGCAGCCGCGGUAAUACGGAGGGUGCGAGCGUUAAUCGGAAUUACUGGGCGUAAAGCGCACGCAGGCGGUCUGUCAAGUCGGAUGUGAAAUCCCCGGGCUCAACCUGGGAACUGCAUUCGAAACUGGCAGGCUAGAGUCUUGUAGAGGGGGGUAGAAUUCCAGGUGUAGCGGUGAAAUGCGUAGAGAUCUGGAGGAAUACCGGUGGCGAAGGCGGCCCCCUGGACAAAGACUGACGCUCAGGUGCGAAAGCGUGGGGAGCAAACAGGAUUAGAUACCCGAGUAGUC